AGGUCGUAGCACAGACGAAGUAUAGAAAAGACAUGACAUCCAAUGCAUUUUUGUGUCACAUGGUCAUAGAUCGCUACAAGCGUACUCUAUGCACAACAGGGAACUGGAGAACUACAUCAAAUAAAACGGUCGAAGUUAGUCAAGUAGUGAAUGCGCCACAAACAUGAUUUUUGAAACCUAGUACCACAGACGAGGUACUUUUUCAGACGUGCCAAUUGUUUCUUGACGAAUAGAACAAUAUUAGACAUGACAAAAUCCUCUUGUACUUCAACAAUUCUGCUUUGAAUAAGAAAUCUGAAAUCUAUCCCUUUAAAUAUAUUGUUAGAAAUUCGUCAUGCUAUGAAUCUAAUGUAAGAUUCAGUCAAUCAAAAAAAGAUAUAUAAACGCGACGAAAACAGCUCACGCACAAUAUUUUUAUAU